rnacentral:lncRNA from 1 species
GGCAGCGUUUCAGACAAACAGCUCAGGGGCCCACAUUCAGCCAGACUUGCAGAGAACCCGAGGCCUAGACCGGCGAGGGGCCGUGGUAGGCAAUUAGCCAAAUCUACAACAAUGACACUCUAAGGAGCGGUGGCUGCUGACAGGCUUUCUGAGCAGGGUGGCUGGAAGGAUGAAAUGCAGUGAUGGAUCUGGAGUGCCUAGCAGAUGCGUGGCACGUGGUAAGCUCUCCAUAAUGCAGUCAAGUGGAAACUCCUCCAGGAAGCCUCCCCAGACCACCUGCCUGGAUCUGGGCUCUAAGACGUCUGUGCUCCCCUGUGCUUGCUCAUCUCCUCGGGCAAUCGGUUUUCAUCGCCUGUUUUUGUGGCUC